rnacentral:rRNA from 1 species
GACGAACGCUGGCGGCGUGCUUAACACAUGCAAGUCGAACGGUAAGGCCCUUCGGGGUACACGAGUGGCGAACGGGUGAGUAACACGUGGGUGAUCUGCCCUGCACUUCGGGAUAAGCCUGGGAAACUGGGUCUAAUACCGGAUAGGACCACUGCCUGCAUGGGUGGUGGUGGAAAGCUUUUGCGGUGUGGGAUGGGCCCGCGGCCUAUCAGCUUGUUGGUGGGGUGAUGGCCUACCAAGGCGACGACGGGUAGCCGGCCUGGGAGGGGAACCGGCCACACUGGGACGGGGAUACGGCCCAGACUCCUACGGGAGGCAGAAGUGGGGAAUAUUGCACAAUGGGCGCAAGCCUGAUGCAGCGACGCCGCGUGAGGGAUGACGGCCUUCGGGUUGUAAACCUCUUUCAGCACCGACGAAGCGCAAGUGACGGUAGGUGCAGAAGAAGGACCGGCCAACUACGUGCCAGCCGCCGCAGUAA